ensembl:lncRNA
CUUGUUCUGCUUGAUGUUUCUGAAGUUGCCGUGCUGCAGUUGCGCACGCGAAACGCUCCGGGAAUAUCAGCUGCGUCUUAUUCCGCCUCACACUCUUCUAAUAAGCUCUCGAUAACAAGCUAAAAGUGCUGUUCGCCUGUCUGCCCGUUUUUGGAGCGCAGCGGACCGCCGCGUCCUCCUCCCGCGUCUGGAGCUCCUGCGCCUCUCUGCGCUUUUUGGCACCAGCCACUUUGAGUCCAAUCAUGCAGGACGCGUGUCUAUUUGCUGCCGCAGAUUCUAAUUAGAGCCAAUCAUGAGAGUCCUUGCGCUCUGACAUCACGACCGAUGGCACACCUCCAUCCCAUCCCAUCCCAUCCCAAGCGGGCGUGCGAACUCAGCCUUCAUCUCUGAAUGAGUGAUGAUGCCACUGAUGCGCGCCGAUGAGAGGACAGACAGGAGAGCUGAAUCCUCUACAGUGAAUGGGUGCCGUCAGAAUGAGAGUCCAAAAACUGGUGAAAACAUCUCAAUAAUCCACAAGUAAUCCACACCACUCCAGUCCAUCAAUUAAUGUCUUAAGAAGUUAAAGUUUUGAAGUGAAAAUGCCUUAAUGAUGACUUUAUUUCUUUCAGACACACAGCUUUUCGAGUGGUUUGGAUUACUUUUGGAUUAUUGUGAUGUUUUUUCAGCGGUUUGGACUCUUAUUCUGACGGCACCCAUUCACUGCAGAGGACCCACUGGUGUUACUGAAGCACAUAUCCAGCAUGACAGUAGGGCACAGAGAACUGCAAAAGCAAGUCCUGCGGUAAUGCCUCGGCUGUGCCAGUUCCAAUCAGACCGACCCGCGCUGGUGAAGUAAUCCUUCAGACCACUUCCUCCAAGCUCGGCUACAUCUGAAGCUGCUCGUCAAGUUUGGAAAGAAACGUAAGCGCAAGAUGUUAAGCCACUUCACCAAUAUCCUGCCUGACACUCCACAGGACUUAGGCAGAAAAAUUUCUUUUUUUCCCCCUUGGAUUUACUAAGAGGUGGGGGAAAACACGCAAGGUAGCUGCAGAUUGCAUUCAUGGGUGGAUUUAGGGUGGGGGGGGAUGGGGAUACAGUCACUGUUUGUUUGUUUGCCUUUUUUUCCAAUGUCUUUUUCAUUUUGACUACACUGAUUGUGUCAUAUGUUGUCCUGGUGUCUAAAUCCUCAGGAAUACAAGCGCAGUAUUUAGCACUGUACUGUAAUAAUUCUGUUGUUUAUUAAGUUGGCAGAAUUCACACAUGCUUUCGGACGGCUUUGCGUUCUGGCAUAUGCUGCCUGUGACAUCAGAAAAGGUCAUUGUGUUCUCACUGAUUUGAUGCCGGCGACAGAUGGCCCACAUUGUUGUUUCAUUUGUACGAUUUGUCAAACUAUAAAACAUUUUCUCAUUUUCUGCUUGGAUGAUGUUUUAAGAUAAAACACAGUCACUCAGCCAUAACUUCUGUCUUUAGUAUGUCAAAAAUGUUCUUUUAAUGCUAAAAGCAUGGCUUUUAGAUAAUGAUUCUUAUAAAAUUACCUCGUUUGGAAUGUGCAAGAAAAAAAAAGACUAAAUAAAUUGCUUUAAAAGACUUCA